UGGGGGAUAUUGCACAAUGGGCGAAAGCCUGAUGCAGCAACGCCGCGUGAGGGAAGACGGUUUUCGGAUUGUAAACCUCUGUCUUCGGUGAAGAAAAAAAUGACGGUAGCCGAGGAGGAAGCCACGGCUAACUACGGGCCAGCAGCCGCGGUAAUACGGAGGUGGCGAGGGUUGUCCGGAAUUACUGGGUGUAAAGGGAGCGCAGGCGGGGAAACAAGGCAGCUGUGAAAACUAUGGGCUUAACCCAUAAACUGCAGUUGAAACUGUUUUUCUUGAGUGGAGUAGAGGUAGGCGGAAUUCCGAGUGUAGCGGUGAAAUGCGUAGAUAUUCGGAGGAACACCAGUGGCGAAGGCGGCCUACUGGGCUAUAACUGACGCUGAGGCUCGAAAGUGUGGGGAGCAAACA
rnacentral:rRNA from 1 species